UGGAUGUGAGCAAUUUAUUUGACCAAUCCCUUGCUGCUGGCUUGUAAGUCUACCUCCAGUUUUCAUGUUUAUAAACGGUGCUGGGAUGGACAGUCGUGCUAUGAAGCCUUUUGGCACACGCCUCAUUACUUCCUUAUGAUUGUUAAACGAUUAAAGUUCAACUGAGUAAAGAUCCAAUUGGCUUUAUUCAGCAAUUCACAGAUUCCAGGCAGCGUCCCAUCCUGCGUACAGAAGGAGCUCCACUGCGCUGUGGAAGGGAAAGGUGUUUAAAGGUGGAAAGGGGGUGGACAAAGGAAGUUAUCAGCAAAGAACGCACUGUUCCAGGCAAGGCUCUGUCCUAAGGAGAACGCUCGGCCUCUGUUGGGCAGAUCACCUCGAUGGCUCUGGGCAGCAUCCCAGUCUUGGGGAGAUCACCUGCUUGGCCACUUAUGGCUGUGAACAGACUUAAAAAGAAAUCGUAUAAAGCUUUUGAGAGAAGUCCAUGCACCAGGGAGAUUACUGUGAUCAUAAGCGGGACAGUCCCCAGUGUUUGGAGUGCACUUUGAAGUCAUGGUCCCAGGACUCAAAAUCAGAGCAACAGGAAGCUCCAGGAGAGGCAUCAACACUCGACACCCUGGCUGUCUGCUCCUAGACCUUCUCAGAUCCGGGACCCUGUGACUCCAUGGAGAUGAGUAACCCCUGACCCCCUUCACGUCCAGUUCUGUCAGCACCUGCCCAGCUUUCCUUCCUUAUCCGCCCUCGACUCUCUGGCCUGUGGUUACACCUCCUUCACAGAUCCACUCCUUUCUCCUCUCUCCUCCCACUGAACUGUCUCACAGAAACUUUGUUGGCCUUCCAAACACUGCUUUCCUUCCCGGCACCGGCUCCCGGGCAGCUGACCGUUAAUGCGGAAGGUCACAAAAACAAAGCAGUUUUCACUAGAUUCGUGGGGAUGCCUUUCAGAGGGCGCCCACCGCUGCCCAGCAGCCCUGGGCUGUCCUAGCAGACUUGGUCUCAUUUCCCAGACGACCAUUCUGCGCCUUCUCUUCUCUCUUCAAACUUCCCACCCCUUACUCCACACCCAUUCUCAGUUGAUGGCCUCAGUGUCUUGAGGACACGGACACGACAGGGUGCCAACUCCCCACCAGCCCUGCAGACCACCCGUGUCCUUCCGCCGCCCCAGAGGAGAAAGUGUCUCUUCCUUACUUGAGGCAGCUGUGCCUCGGGGCUGUGGUUCCGGCCUCCCUCGCCUCCUCAGCGGCUGACGGCUGUCCGUCUCUAGGGCACUCACUCUCCUGGAUCAUUCACAUCCCUCAGGCACGCCCCUGCACCUCCACCUUGCAAAACAAUAAUAACAUCCCUAUGGUCCUACUUGUCCGUCUACAUUUUUUGUUUCUUGUCUGCUUUGCUGGGGAAGGAGCUGCUUUUUUAAGUCUCCCGCUCCUGUUACCGCCCAGCCCGUCCCCAUCUGGCUCCUGCUGAGACCGCUCCCGGUCACUGCUGGCUGUCAGGUGGCCGGCCCAGUCCUCAUCUUGGCCUCGCCACGGAAUCUGACAGCUCCUCGCACCCCCUGGGGCGGUGGCUCUCCGUGGGGCUGCGACUCCCUGCCCACCCCCGCCCACCCCUUGCUCCCUUCGCCGUGCUCUCCUCUUCUGCGGGGCUCCCUCGAGGCUGGAUCGUGACCCCCCUUUGCCACUUACAUUCUCUUUCUAGGUGGUCUCAUUCCCACGACUCUAAAAUGUCAUAUAUCUUCUGACGAUGAUCAGAUGUAUGUCUCCAGCCCAUCCCUGACUUCCGAACCCCAGACUUUUAUACCCAAACACCAACUGCGCAUCUUCUCCUGUGCGUCCUGCUCACGUCUGGUAGUCAGUGUGUCCGAGAGAGCUCUUCUCGUCCAGCUCUGCUCUGGCGCUUGCUCUCGGCUAGGCCGCUUCGUCUCGAUAAAUAUCACUGCCACCCAUCCAAUCACCUAAAGUGGAAUUCUAGAAAUCGUUCUUGAUUUUCUCCUUUCUGUACCCCCUUCUGCCCAAUCCAGUGGUAAAUUCUCAGUCACACCUCUGAAAUAUACUCCGUGUCAUUCACCCGCCUGCCACAGUCCAGUCUGCCAUCAUUUCCCAGCGGAAUUACUGAAUUACUCUGCUAUCUAGGCUCCCUGUUUCAACUUUACUCUCUUUAUUCCUCAAGCAGCAGCAAGAAUGACCUUAUAAAAUGUUAGCUCAGGCCGCUACCUGUGUGACACCCGGGCGUGCACUGUGCCGAGACCACAUCCACACUUCUUGCCUUCCUGACGCCCUGGCAGGUCUGCUCCAACUCUUCCCUUCACUGGGCACCGCUCUCCCAUCCCGUUCAUUCUGGCAAAUCCGGCUUCAUUUCAAUGCUCCACAGGGUCUCCCUCGUCCGGGGGGCCGGCUGCCCCAGACAAUAAGCUGGGAACGGUCUCCCACGGUCCACAAAGCUGGCUGUCUCUCAUCUUUCCGAUGAGACCUCCUCACAGAUGUCUUCCUUAACCACAGUAGCUAAUGGACAUGCCACUUAUUAUCUCCCUCAGUCCUCUUCUCUCUGCUCAUGUGCACUUAGCAUAAUGCCCGAGGGUUUUGGGUUGUUUAUUUUCUAUAAUCUUUACUUGAAUUUAAAUUCUGAGAGCAAGUACCAGGCUUUCUGUGUUUCUCAUCAUGUCCCUAUGCCUGGGACAGUGCUGACUUUCAGAAAUAAUUGUAGAAUGAUGGGUGAAUAAGCAGUGGAUGCUAAAUAAAGAUACACCCCAUACCCUGCCCUACAUUUCAUGAAUCUUGGCUCACCUUGCACCUGAGUCCUCAUUUCUGGGGUACAGUGGAUGACCUGGCACUGCUUAAACUGUUUCUCACAGGUCAGUGAGCCCCAAAGCAGGGAGUUGGAGUUCCUAUUUUUGGGGUUUGUCUUGCUUCCUCCAACCCAAUACCCAAGGGAGAGGAGGUCACAUGGUUUAACAGACAAGGGCUGUGAUGGGAGAAGCCAUGGACUGAAUUCCAGCCUGCCACUCACGAGCUAACCUUGGGCAGGACGCAGUCCCUCUGACUCGUUUCCUCCUGUGUAAACUGCAGAGCACUACCUGUGUCAUCUGCUCCAAGGCGUGGUGCUCGCAAGUGGGUUCGUCAGUGAGACCUUUGUAAGACGUAGUGCGGAGCCAGCAGUCCCAGUGUCCUGGAGCUCCCCUGGUCAGGAAGCAGGCAGUGGCUCUCAGAUCUCUCCGAGGAGUGACUUAAGGAAUCCCUUCCCUCGGUGCCUGACCUCUGCUGGGCCGCGGCUGGGGCUUCGCUGAGGUCCUGGGACCUGUUCCCGCCCCAUCGCCCAGGCCCUCCUCCUUCCUUUCCCUCCGUGGACGUGGACGUAUGGCGGCUGUUUCUGCUCCAUGAGGCACAGCUCCUGCCAGGCGGGACAGAGAGAAUGUGGGGCUCGCCGCUGAUGGGUCAGAACCGCGCUACCUAACCAGUGACGGUCCCCGUUUAGGUCCACGAGGCUGGCAGUCUGGGCAGGCGCCCGCCACCCUCAGCUGCUGCCGGGGACCUGGAGCUGCCUUGCCCUCCGCCCUGCGUGGAUGCCCUGGGGCUUGGCUGCUGCCGACCCUGCGUGCCGCGGUGGGCGAGCCUCCGGCUCCUGCAGAGCACCUGCUCCUGGGCGAGCUGCGCACCAUGCCUCUCACGCGGUUUCCCUGGCUUCCUCCGCUGGUCGUGCCUGUGGGUCCCUCAUGGCUGUGGUCCCCCGGGCCUCCCCAGGGCUUAGAGCUCGGCCGGGGCCAUGCCUUUCCGCCUUCUGUCUCCCCCACCCGGUCCUCUCUCUCUCCUAGUCUUCUGUCACCCGGAGGAAGUGCAGCUUUGGCGGGUCCCCUCGUUCGCGUCGUCUCCACACCCUGCCUCUCCUCUGUCCCGUGGGUGGUGCUUGGGGCAGGUGCUGAGGGUCAGGGGGACGUCCCUGCUGCCGACACUGUAACGCCGCCCGCCUCAGGCUUCUCCCCUGAGAGCUCUUCUUCCCCAGCACCCACGAGAUACAUUUCACCCCCCCACCCAGCACUCAAAGCUGAGAGCGCGGCUCUAAGCGUCCUCUCUCGGCAUUGUCCGCCGCACCCGAAGUGCCUGCUCCGGCCUCCGCUCUGUUCCCUGCUCACUGGAUACCCCUCCUUCCCCUGCCUCAGCCUCCCUGUCCUCCAGGGCCCCCUUCCUUCCAGAAGGCCUCCUCCCCUCCCCUGGCCCACGAUGCCCUCUCCUCUCCCUUGAGGCCAGAGCCUUUCUCAUCUGCACUGCGCAGAGUAGCAUCUUCUUUCUUUUUUUUUCACUCGACUACUGAGGACCUGCCUUCCCUGCAGCCUGGUUCCUUGAAGAGAGACAACUGCAUGUUGAUGUGUGAUUGACACAUGCCUGUCAUACAGAGGUGCUCACAGACAUUUGUCAAGUUCUGUGACGCGGGGAUGAUACCUGCAUAGUGGUUAAGGGCGGAUAUUGGGACGCAAAUGAGCUCGCGCUGCACUGUACCACCUCUCAGGUGUGUCGUGUUUGGUGGGUCACUCGGCUCCCCGGGCCUCUGCCCCUCACCUGUGGAGUGGAGAUAUGCGCACACCCCGGAGCCAAGGGUUCAGGAGGCGCUUAUCCAACAACUGGCUCAUCCAGAAAUCCAUGCGAUGGUUCUUAUGAGAGUGGAGAGGGGAAGGACAGGCGCGUGAGCAGACCUGUCAGGAGUUCCGCGUAGUUCACCGGGGCCAGUGCCCAGGUCUCCUGGAGGCCAGCCUGGGGUCUUCCCUUGCUCCGUCCUGUUAAGUAGCCCAACGAAGUCCUCCUGAGAGAAGAAGAGGAAGGGGCUCUCCUAUGAUCUCCGAGCAAAGUACACCAAAAUAAAAGUGAUGCUAAGUACUUUAUCAGCCAUUAUUUCACUCUUGCUGCAGACAUGAAAGGGUGAAAACUGUAGGACUCUGAUUUUUUUCCUUUAUGGCAGAAACAAUCCGAGCGACCUGAAGACGGCGCAGGUCGCCCCAGAAGGUUCCCAGUUCCCUAUCACUGAAGGCAUUCAGGAGAGACCGAAUGGCCACCAGCUAGGCAGGUUGGAGGAAAUUUGCAGCCCAGGCAGGUGGCUGGCCACGGUGGCCUGAGAGGUCCCCUCCACCCCUUUAGCGGGGCUGGUCCCAGACACACGGCGAGGGCUGGCAGCUGACCCGAACUGCCACGGGCUUCACCCAGCACCACCCUCCCGCUGCCAGGCCCGCCCUUCCCACGUUCACACCAGCUGGUGAGCAGGGCCGUAGGGGUGCCACGAGAUCUGCGGAGUUUCCAGAACCGAGAAAACUGUGGAGUGUGUCAGUUAUCCCGACGUGUUCCGGCACCUGCUCCAGGCCUCUGCGGUCCUGGUCCCCAGUACCAGGAAGAGCCGGCUCCUGGAACCCACCAACCCCAGCGGUAUCGUGCCUGCACACAGCGAGCCGCUAAGGUUCCAGGCCAUGCUUCUCCUUUGUCUUAAAAAUGACGGCAGGGUGAGGUCCCUGGACAGCACACAGCGUCCCUUCUCCACCACAACGUGCAGUCUGUCUCUGGAUGGCCUCCGAGCUCCCAGGCCCCUGUGCCCUGCCAGUGGCAGCCCCAGCCCCUCUGGGCCCAGCUGCAGUCACGCCCUCAGGACCGUAGGGAAGGCUGCCGUUGGUCCCCAGCAGGAAGAACGGGCCCUGUCGGGGGCGUGACCUCCACCUCAGCGUUCACACGGCCCAGAAUGGCAGCAGAGAUGGCGAAGAGGGGAGCUUGGCAGCUUUCGGCCCUCGGCGGCACGACGGAGCUGCUGUCCCCUGGAACAAUAUUCACCGAGGAAGUUUGACGACCACUGACGGACUUGGAGGUCCAUCUCCUCUCUGGCUCCCUAGCAGCUCCGGCUUGUCAGAUACACAGCCAGACGCUGUGUCCGCCUCUGCUCUGGCUGUGAUCCCAGGAGUCUACCUUCUCGGCAAGGAGAGUGGAUCAGAGAGGUGCCUUCCUACAGAGCAUGUGUGCUCAUUAGCAGAUGUCUUAAUCACAUUAAUCAGUAAGGGUGGAUCUUGAGGGGCCUGGGUUCUUACUAUGACAUUCAUUGUGAAAUUAAAAUAUGCUUGUGAGAGGUAAAAUCGAUUUUAAUUUUCAGGAAGCAGGAAUAUGUCGAUGAGGGCAGGAGGAGUUAAUUCAGAUAAAGAAAUUUUAAGAGUUGAAGGAAGACAUGUAAAUAAGGCUUCAAUCUAUAAAAUUUACCAAUUAUUAAUGCUAAAGACAUUAUAAAUAUGCAGUGAUACUAUAAGAAAAAAUAUGUAGUAAUUUUUUGUCAUUCAGAGUGGGAUAAAAGAGGCCAAACUUUUGGGGAAGAUACAUCUUUAAUUGUUUGCGGUGACACUGUUCUGUUAGUGCUUUUCUCCAAGACAAGAAUUAUAGGGCUAAAUGAAUAAUAAUCUGGAACCACUGUUGAUAAAUUUAGUAGCUGUUACUGGUCACUAUUAAUGGUUGUUAGCAGACAGUUGAUAUCAUUUAUUGGGUACACACUAACCACUAGGCAUUUGACACCGCCUCGUUUUAUCUGCGCAAUAGCCUAUGUGGUAGAUAAUAUUCUCCUGUAACUAACUGAUAAACUAUGGAUCAUAAAGAUAAGUAAUUUUCCAAAGUCUUAUAGUUAGUACAUAGUAAAGAUACAUUAAAAAAACCCAAAUGGACAGUCUCUGUCCUUCAGUUGGUGUGUUUUAGGUCCUUAAAGUUAAUCAUUGAUAUGAUUGGAUUGGGUUUUCCCUUUUAUUCCUCAUUUUCUGUUUGUCCCUUCUAGUUUUGGUUGCCUUAUUACCUCUUCAGUUACUUCUUUUGGAUUGUUUGAUUUUUUUUAAGAUUCCAUUUAAAUUUAUCAGCUUUUUGACUAUUCUCUUUGUAUUAUUUUUUUAGUAGUUGCUAUAAGGAUACAAUAUAUAUAUCUAACUAGUCACAAUGUAGUUAGAGUUACUAUUUUACCAUUUCAAGUAAAAUGGAGAAACUAGAACCACAUAGGUCUCUUUAUCCUCCCCAUUUAUGUUAAUCUUGAUAUGUUAUCUCUACAUACACUGAAAAGCCCUGCCAACAAUAUUAUAAUUUCUACUUUCACUUGGCACACAUAUUUUAAAGGCUUUAAUAGGAGAAAACUAGUCUUUUAUAUUUAUCUGGAUAUUUACCAUAUCUGUUGCCUUUUCUUCUUUCCUAAAGAUCCCAAGUUUCCUUCUGUUAACAUUUCCCUUUAGGACUUCCUUUCGCAUUCCUUUUAUAAUUGGUCAGCUGGUCGUAAAUCCUCUUAGUUUCCUUUCAUCUGGGAAUGUUUUUAUUUUACUUCCAUUUAUGAAGAAUAAAUUUGCUGGCUACUGAA